AAAAUCACAGCCUAUUUAUUUUUUGGUACUGGAGUUUGAACCCAGGCCCUCACCCAUGCUAAUCCUGUGUUCACCGCUGAGCUAGAAGGGGCCUUGUGUCUCUGGGAUGCUUCAGGUGGCUCAAAGCUCCCUGUCUUGGAAAUCAGGAAUCUGCUUUCCAUGUGGCUCCCAUAUGCAGCUGCAGAAUCCAGUCUGGGAAAGGUGCAGGCCGGUACCAGAUGCCCUUCCUCGGUGUCUCAGUUCUGCACCUGUGAAGUCGCCUCACCGUGUAAGGCUGCCGAGAUCCGCGACAGUUCUGUGACAGGCAGGAAGGACAGAGGAGAGCUUUUGGAGCCUGGGGAGGAAAUCGGAAACCUGCUGGGGCCUGCUUGA
rnacentral:lncRNA from 1 species